rnacentral:rRNA from 1 species
AGCGAACGCUGGCGGCAGGCUUAACACAUGCAAGUCGAACGCAUCCUUCGGGGUGAGUGGCAGACGGGUGAGUAACACGUGGGAACGUACCCUUUGGUUCGGAAUAACACAGGGAAACUUGUGCUAAUACCGGAUACGCCCUUUUGGGGAAAGGUUUACUGCCGAAGGAUCGGCCCGCGUCUGAUUAGCUAGUUGGUGGGGUAACGGCCUACCAAGGCGACGAUCAGUAGCUGGUCUGAGAGGAUGAUCAGCCACACUGGGACUGAGACACGGCCCAGACUCCUACGGGAGGCAGCAGUGGGGAAGAUUGGACAAUGGGCGCAAGCCUGAUCUAGCCAUGCCGCGUGAGUGAUGAAGGCCUUAGGGUUGUAAAGCUCUUUUGUCCGGGACGAUAAUGACGGUACCGGAAGAAUAAGCCCCGGCUAACUUCGUGCCAGCCGCCGCCGUAAAAC